CAAUGGACGAAAGUCUGACGGAGCAACGCCGCGUGAGUGAUGAAGGCUUUCGGGUCGUAAAACUCUGUUGUCAGGGAAGAACAAGUGCUAGUUGAAUAAGCUGGCACCUUGACGGUACCUAACCAGAAAGCCACGGCUAACUACGUGCCAGCAGCCGCGGUAAUACGUAGGUGGCAAGCGUUAUCCGGAAUUAUUGGGCGUAAAGCGCGCGCAGGUGGUUUCUUAAGUCUGAUGUGAAAGCCCACGGCUCAACCGUGGAGGGUCAUUGGAAACUGGGAGACUUGAGUGCAGAAGAGGAAAGUGGAAUUCCAUGUGUAGCGGUGAAAUGCGUAGAGAUAUGGAGGAACACCAGUGGCGAAGGCGACUUUCUGGUCUGUAACUGACACUGAGGCGCGAAAGCGUGGGGAGCAAACAGGAUUAGAUACCCUGGUAGUCCACGCCGUAAACGAUGAGUGCUAAGUGUUAGAGGGUUUCCGCCCUUUAGUGCUGAAGUUAACGCAUUAAGCACUCCGCCUGGGGAGUACGGC
rnacentral:rRNA from 1 species